UUUUCUGGUUAUUAUUUUUCCUCUGUGUUUAUUUGAACAGAAUAUGCUGCUGCGUGUUUUGUUUGGCGGGAGCAGAAGUAUGUUAGGUUGUGUGACCUAACAUUUGAUGCUCUCAUGAAAGAAGCAUCUGAUGAUACUAUCAUUCUGAACUUCACGAUGUGUGACCCUCCUGAAGAAGCAGCUGCCGCCGAAGGGAGUCAACCUACAAGGCCAUGCCGUAUAAACUAUGAGGCAAAAGUGGUGGGUAGUGGACACUGUUGUUAAGUCUAAUCUGGAUGUUGUUGCAUUUGAUGUGCAGUGUUUUUAUUAAUCAUUUUCCAGUUUUACUUAUGGUUUAGAAUUUUCAGACUUCAUUUCUUAUUUCAGUUUAAGUUGAUUGAAAAAAUCCUAACAACAAAGCCUGGCGGUGAACACAUCAUGCAAGAGUAUGCAAAAACUAAAUCCCUGACAGAUGCAAUCAGAAGAAAGAUAAUAUAUGAUAAACAUACUUGCUGCUGAGAUAAACACAUGGAUAAAAUCAUACAUGUAGGCUAUGAAGAAACAUUGUUAGUAUUGGAUUAUUAAUGCCAGUUGAGUGAUGGUUAUCAUUUAAUUUAUAUAUUAGGACAUCUCCCCCUAAAACUGUAAGAGUGAUGCAUGCACAGGGCAUAGUUGCUCUGUUUCCAUAUCUGGAGGACCCAUAUUCACAACAUGGAUAUGUAAGUAAAAGGGUCCUGGCAUCAUUAAACACAUAAUUGCCUCAGAACUGUUAAUGGCAUUGUCAGUCUGCAUGGAUUUAAUUAUACAGGAACAUUGCUACGAUCCAGAGAGCAGUUCGGGAUACCUUGCGUGGCGGUUGAAGACCAAUCAAAGAAAAAUUGCAGAGUUGGUGGGCCAGGCUACGGUCAAUCCCGAUCCUUCACUGCUGACACAGUGUUAUCAGAUGAGGAUGUGCAAGCAGCUGUUGCUGUUUUGAGACACUGUGUUGAUGGAGACACUAUCCGCGAGAAGAUGAAAGCUACCUUCAUUUAUCGUCAUGCAAUGGUGAACGAUGAAAAGAAAGCAGCAGAUGUCUUCUCAGUCUUCCCACGGUUUUUGGACACACCAGGACUGAUAGAACAAAAUUUCAGACUCCUCUUUGGUGAGGUCACUACCAACAGAUCCUUGGAGAGGUGGCCCACCAAUCUGAAAGCAAAAGUUGUAAAGGAAAACCAUGGACUGGGACCCACCACCUUGUAGUAAAUGUGCAAUGCUGAGUCAGCUGCUGAAGUUGAGAAUGACUGGGACAGUGACAUGUCUGCUAUCUUGCUGCUGCUACAUCUGCUACCAGCAUCUGCACAAGGACGAAAGAGGCCAGGAAAGAUGUCUGCAUCUCAAGCUGUCGAUAACCUCAUCAAAUUCCUAAAGGCUGGAACCAGUAUACAGCAGCAUCUAGACAACAUUACCCAAAGCAGUCAGCCCUACCUUCUUGUUCAGGGACUCACAAGAAGCACCAUUCAUGCCUUCUACAUUGUGAUUGACAAGCAUGCACUUCCAUGUAAGGUGACAUGUUCAGUGGGAGCCCUUGACGAACUCUUUAAGGCCCAUUAUGUUUUUGGUACGUCAUUUAGAAAGCACCUGAACAAAUGCCAUGUAAGCAGUUAAUUUGAUUGUGCAGAAGGUGACUUUUCACCUUGUCAAAGUGUUCUUGACUCGAAUAAUGCUACGGAUGUUGAUGUGGUGCCUGAAAAUAUAGAGGCUGAGUCGGAAUUAUCUUCAGCAGACCUUGUAAAUAGUUGUGCAGCUAUAAUUUCUGAUCUAAAGGUAGCAGGUGUAGGCCAAAGUCUCAUUAAUUCUGUCAUUAAGCAUGUUUUCAGUAAUGAAAGAGAAACUGAAAUGUGCAAGAAAGUUGAAGCAUGUUUUGAGGAGUUAGAGAACCCUUUCACAGUUCUCAAUUCAGAAUACAAGCGAUCAAAAUUUUUAUCAGACAAGUGGGAAACUGUAGAACCAAUUGAAUGUGUAAUUGGCUCAAGAUUUGACACAAGGCAACAUAAAAAGACUGGAACAUAUGAUCAGACAGUUGUUCAAGAUAAAUUAAUGUAUGUUCCAAUUUUAUCGACAUUGGAAUCAAUAUUUAAAAGUCAGCAUAUUGCAGAAAUGUUGAAAAACUCAGGAACUGGUGAUUCAAGGCUCAGAGAUAUUUGUGAUGGAUCUUUAAUGAAGACUCAUCCUCUGUUUUCAACUGAAAAGCACAGAGUGCAGAUCCAAAUGUUCUAUGAUGACUUUGAGGUACCAAAUCCUCUUGGUUCCAAGUGAGGUAUUCAUAAAUUAGGUGCAAUAUAUUUUACCUUAAGAAACUUCUCUUCAAAAUGGAAUUCUUUUUUGGCCAACAUACACCUUUGUGCUUUAUUUCAUGCACAAGAUCUUAAACAUUACGGUUUUAGUGAAAUUCUCCUAUUGUUCGAGACAUUAACGUGUUAUAGAGUGAUGGUAUUGAGAUUCCACUAUACGGUGGUCGUGUUCGUGGCAGUGUGGUACAAGUUACUGGUGAUAAUUUAGGCUUGUUUGGUCUGGUGGAGUCUUUCAGUGCGAGGUACUGUUGCAGGUUUUGUUUAGCUGAAAAAGAUGACUUUCAAACUGAAUUCUCUGAAGAUUCUCCCAAAAUAGUGUUGCACACCAAAGACAUCCACACUGCUCACUGUCAAGAAAUGGCUCGUAAUUCAUCUCUUCCUUACAUUUUUGGUGUGAAGAGUUCAUGCUUAUUGCAUUCAUUGACAUACUUCCACACAACUGAGAACUUCUCAGUUGAUGUGAUGCAUGAUGUUUUGGAAGGGGUGGCCCAGUGCGAACCAAAGUUAUCGUUUGCAUAUUUCAAAGAAGAACGAGAGCUGAGCUGAAGAGCUGAAGUUCAGAAUACAAACUUUUGAUUAUGGAUUCAUGGAGAGAAACAAUAGGCCAGUGGUUGUGAAUUUAGGUGGAGAGUCCAAUGAUCUGGGACUGAAUGCAGUUCAGUCAUGGUGCUUAUUGAGGAAUGUUCCCCUCAAGUUUGGAGAUUUGGUAACCUCUACCGACCAACAUUAGAGCCUACUUCUUUUAUUAUUACAGAUAGUUAACAUUGUAUUUUCUCCCAUGUUAUCUCAAGGUCUGUGUGUAUAUUUAAAACAUUUGAUUGUGGAACACCACAAACUGUUCAAGAUGUUGUUUCCCCAGAAAAAGCAAAGCACCAUUUUCUUGUCCAUUAUCCUGACUGCAUGCAAAAUAGAAUAGGACCUGUACUUCAUAGUUGGUGCAUGCGCUAUGAAGGUAAGCACAAUUUUUUCAAGAGACAGCUCAAAUCAUUUAAAAACACUGGCCAAAAAACACCAGAAUUAUAUGGCAUACGUUUGGCAAUCUUCAACAACCUUUAGUCAGUUAGACAUUGGUCCAGGAAAAAGAGUGUCUUUAGCAAUGGUAAAAGGAGGUUCUGGAAUCGCCAUGGUAAUGCAAGUGUCCAGUAGUGUUGAAGUUAUGAAAGUUAACUGGGCUAAACAGAAUGGGUUUGUUUACUGUCCACAUUUGGUUAUUUGUGGCAAAGUAGGGUCUGAAAUCUCUGUGUUUUACCAGAUUGAGUCAGUUCUGAUAAUACAUGAGAAACUGUUGCUACUCACUUUGCCUUUAUGUACAGUAACCUUUCAAGAACAUUUCCAUGCCUAUGAAGUGACCAAGACAAAGCAAGAUUUUGUUGUCUUUCAUGUUGACAACUUGCAUUAUCCCAGGCCUUUUGAGCAUCACAGAACUGUAUUGAACAGUUAUGAUAGUUAUGAUAAUUAACAUAAGUAAUGCUUUGUUAUGUUAAUUAUAUGAGAGGCAUAAUAAUAAAUGCUGUAACCUUGUAUGUUUAUAUUUAUUUCCAUUUGAUAGGUUAGAUCACAACAGUUACACAUAUAAUAAUAUAUAGCAUCUGAAUAUGUAAAAAAUA